rnacentral:lncRNA from 1 species
CAGGAUAGUGGAAUUCAGACUGAGUUUGGACCUCUUCCCUCUACGAAUAAAGUCAUCUCUGUUGGUAUAACUUGAGAACAGUUUUUGUGUUGACAUUUGCUAAUAUAACAUUGGCUAAAAACACACACACAUGCUCAAAAUGGGAAGAGAUUAAUUCUGCUCCAAGGGGAAGGGUGGUAAGUAUUGGCUGAGCAACACUCCAGUCCCUCACGGGAUAGCACCCACCCACCUAUGUCUGUGGUACAGCAGUGAUCAGGAAGGAAGGGUCUCUGUUCACCAGGAGCUCACCUUGGGGCUGCUACAGAUGCAGUAGUGACAGGAGGCCUCUUCUGCACUGGGGGCAAGUUUCUUGAGUGAUACAAGUGACUCUCAGUGGAGAGGAGAGCUGGAAAGGGGUUGGGAUGGGCAUGUAAUCUUCCCCCAAAGCCUGGCCAUCUCUGGCUGGUUCUUCUCAGAAGUCAAGUCAUCAAGCUGUCUCUCCUCCAAAGUCCAGCCAUCCCUCUGAUUCUAGGUGGCAAAUGAAGAGAAUCCGGUCUCAUACACUUACACUUAUCUGUUUCUGUUAUGGAAAUUAAGAGCAUUAGACAACUAACAGCAGACCAAUGCAUAUAAACCAGAGUUGUUGCCAGGAAAAAUAUAGUUAGAAGACUAUUAACAUUUUUUCUCCUUUUUUUUCCCUCCAGUAUUAUGGAAUAAAUAAGUUAAAAGAGCCUUAUCCUUCAAAGUAAUUAAAAUUCAGAAUUACCUUUUUUGUUUCAGAAGUGUCUGAUUUGAUUACUUUUUUAAUGUACGUAAGUCUCUGAAUAUUUAGAAUCUUGACUCCCACUUUCCCUCCUUUUCAUUCUCACCCUCCCCCAUCCCAUUCACUCUACUGCUAACCUUG